CUGUUUAUGAGCGAGUGGGUGGGAAAAAUGCAUGUACGGCUUACCUUUCAGUGGGUGGGCUAAUACUCGCCUCCAUGUCCUUUAUAAAAUCAUGACUUUACGUCAUGUAAUUAGUAAAAUCUGGUAAUUUUAUUAAAGGACACGGAGGCUCUUAUUAGGCUAGUUUAAAGCUGUGAUAUGACCCUAGACGAGAUAUGUUCUGUUGGUCUAAAGUAGUAUUCCUUGAACGUCGAUUCUUGGGACCAGUCAGCUGUGCGGAGGAGGUCUUCCAGUUUACAUCCAAUGGAGAAUGCUUUAGAGGCCAUAGCGCCUCUGGUAGAGUGUGCUCCGUAAACGGCUGUGUCGAUGUUAGCAUUUGACAUUAUCCAUUUCACCCAACGUGUCAGAGUUCCCGUGGAUACUGGUUGAUGAGGUUUCCUCACUGCCAAGAACAAAUUAUGUGUGGUUGGGUUCCGGAAUGGCUG